ensembl:lincRNA
CUCAGUCCCCUGACAGCUUUACUGACCACCAAGCACUUCCGCUUGCCACGGCAGAAACCCAGCCUGUGAGAAGAGCCCCUGCCGUGCUGAUGAUCCCCUCAGCACAGGAGCGGUACAGGACCCUGCUUCCCUAGGGCUUUUAGCUCGGGAGCCGGCUCCCAGCUCUGAAGCUCAGUGGAGUUUGCCGCUCUUCAAGGUGCCACACAGCAGGGACUCCAGCGUUUUGAAGGACACCAUAAUACAGAAACUAACCUCAGAAAGAGAAGCGAGGAAAAGCUGUGAGGCCAGCGUUAAAGAGUGGAUAAUGCCCCUGCGUGGGACAGAGGAUACUUCCUGUGCUGGACCUGUGUCCAAGGAGAUCCUGAGAGUCCCACUCGCCUUAGAGGAGGAGCUGCUGUUACCCCAGUGGGCAGAUGAGGAAGAGCAGCUGAUGUAUACAAGCCAAGCCUGAAGGCAUGGGGGCUGCUGCUCAGAUGGAGUUAACAGCCCCCAAUCUGGGGCCCUGGAGGAAGGGAAAGUGCAUCUGAGAUCUCCUCAAGACUGGGCCCCCCAGGGCUGCACUACAUUAAAUUUCCUUUCUUCUGGACCCUCAAAGGAUGAUGAAGGACUGCUGGGUCUUUCUGUGUGGUUUGGUGUGCUGGUUUUGGGGUGCUGGAAUGUGGGU